UAACAAGGAUUCCCCUAGUAACGGCGAGUGAAGCGGGAACAGCUCAAGGCAGGAAUCCCUUCGGGAGUUGUGGCCUAUGGAACGUAGUUGCUGUAAUCCGGUCUGCGGAUCAAGUCCCUUGGAAUAGGGCGCCAGAGAGGGUGAUAGCCCCGUCCACUGCAGGCUUGAACGGUUUCGUUAUGCACUAUGCUCCGCGAGUCGGGUUGUUUGGGAAUGCAGCCCUAAUCGGGAGGUACGCACCUUCCAAGGCUAAAUAUUCAGGCGAGAGACCGAUAGCGAACAAGUACCGUGAGGGAAAGUUGAAAAGUACUCUGGAGAGAGAGUGAAAAGCGCGUGAAACCAUUAGUAGGGAACCGCUUGCACGGUGCACCGAGUAUUGUUGGCUUCGGCCGGCUUUACCGCUCAACACCAGUUUGGCUUGCUGGAAAAAGAGAUUGGCAAGGUAGCAACGCUUCGGGGUUGUGUUAUAGGCCUUUCUCAUAUACAGUGGGCUGGACUGAGGACGGCGACAUCUCCUUCGGGGGCGCUUGUGCGGGCUGGCCAUGAGGCUGGACUGUGCGGACAGCAUGCUGACCGUACGGGACCAUGUUUUAUGCCCCAGUUCGUAUCUUGUGUUAUGUCCAAGGGUAGUUGAGAAGCGCUGA
rnacentral:rRNA from 1 species